rnacentral:rRNA from 1 species
UAUACUGUGAAACUGCGAAUGGCUCAUUAAAUCAGUUAUCGUUUAUUUGAUAGUACCUUACUACUUGGAUAACCGUGGUAAUUCUAGAGCUAAUACAUGCUAAAAACCUCGACUUCGGAAGGGGUGUAUUUAUUAGAUAAAAAACCAAUGCCCUUCGGGGCUCCCUGGUGAUUCAUAAUAACUUAACGAAUCGCAUGGCCUUGUGCCGGCGAUGGUUCAUUCAAAUUUCUGCCCUAUCAACUUUCGAUGGUAGGAUAGUGGCCUACCAUGGUUUCGACGGGUAACGGGGAAUUAGGGUUCUAUUCCGGAGAGGGAGCCUGAGAAACGGCUACCACAUCCAAGGAAGGCAGCAGGCGCGCAAAUUACCCAAUCCCGACACGGGGAGGUAGUGACAAUAAAUACUGAUACAGGGCUCUUUUGGGUCUUGUAAUUGGAAUGAGUACAAUUUAAAUCCCUUAACGAGGAACAAUUGGAGGGCAAGUCUGGUGCCAGCAGCCGCGGUAAUUCCAGCUCCAAUAGCGUAUAUUAAAGUUGUUGCAGUUAAAAAGCUCGUAGUUGAACCUUGGGCCUGGCUGGUCGGUCCGCCUCACCGCGUGCACUGAUCCGGCCGGGCCUUUCCUUCUGGGGAGCCGCAUGCCCUUCACUGGGUGUGUCGGGGAACCAGGACUUUUACUUUGAAAAAAUUAGAGUGUUCAAAGCAGGCCUAUGCUCGAAUACAUUAGCAUGGAAUAAUGAAAUAGGACGUGUGGUUCUAUUUUGUUGGUUUCUAGGACCGCCGUAAUGAUUAAUAGGGAUAGUCGGGGGUGUCAGUAUUCCCGUGCUAGAGGUGAAAUUCUUGGAUUUCGGGAAGACUAACUACUGCGAAAGCAUUCACCAAGGAUGUUUUCAUUAAUCAGUGAACGAAAGUUAGGGGAUCGAAGACGAUCAGAUACCGUCGUAGUCUUAACCAUAAACUAUGCCGACUAGGGAUCGGGCGAUGUUAUCUUUUUGACUCGCUCGGCACCUCACGAGAAAUCAAAGUCUUUGGGUUCU